rnacentral:rRNA from 1 species
GACGAACGCUGGCGGCGUGCUUAACACAUGCAAGUCGAACGGAAAGGCCCUGCUUUUGUGUUGUGCUCGAGUGGCUAACGGGUGAGUAACACGUGAGUAACCUGCCCUUGCCUUUGGGAUAACUUCAGGAAACUGAGGCUAAUACCUACUAGGAGCUCCUGCUGCAUGGUGGGGGUGGGAAAGUUUCGGCGGUUGGGGAUGGACUCGCGGCUUAUCAGCUUGUUGGUGGGGUAGUGGCUUACCAAGGCUUUGACGGGUAGCCGGCCUGAGAGGGUGACCGGGCCCAUACGGACUGAGAAACGGCCCAUACGCCUACGGGCGGCAUCAGUGGGGAAUAGUGCGAGCUGGGCGGAAGCCGUAAGGAGGGACGUCGCGUGCGGGAUGACUGUCUUUGGGGUGUAAACGGCUUUUGGCUGUGACGAAGAGUGAGUGACGGUACUGGGUAAAGAAGCAACGGCUAACUACGUG